UCUCAGUGACGAACAAGGAAUCGAUGACGAGUCCGAUAAGAUCAUUCCAUUCUUUUCAAACAUCGUGACGACAAAAUCGAGGCAUUUGUCCGAGAGAA